GACGUAGGGGACGAGCGUUGUCCGGAUUCAUUGGGCGUAAAGCGCGCGUAGGCGGUUUGGUAAGUCGGAUGUGAAACCUCCAGGCUCAACCUGGAGACGCCAUCUGAUACUGCCGUGGCUUGAGUCCGGUAGAGGAGCAGGGAAUUCCUGGUGUAGCGGUGAAAUGCGCAGAUAUCAGGAGGAACACCAGCGGCGAAGGCGCUGCUCUGGGCCGGUACUGACGCUGAGGAGCGAAAGCGUGGGGAGCAAACAGG
rnacentral:rRNA from 1 species